rnacentral:lncRNA from 1 species
GUUUGGUUUUGGGUGUUUUUUAUGUAGAACAAUGUAGAACAGCUAUCUUUAGACAUAUGAUUCAAACCUAUAUGCUUAUCUCUGCUUGGCACCGGUCAGAUGACUCCAUCUCUGAGAGUUACACCUUCCCCAUUUCCACCUGACGACAGCACUGGCAAUAUCUCUGGCUGUGCCUGCUCGGCUGCAUUUGCUUUGCCUCCCCUGAGCUGACAUCCCAGCACUGAAUUUUUCAGAAACAGAGGACCCAGGAGGAAAGCCAGCCAAUGUAGGAGACCCAUGUGAGCCUUUCCUGGAUGGAGCACUCACAGAUGGAGACACUGGGGAAACCUGUCCACUUGGUGUCUUCGGCAGACUGUUUCAUCAUAGAAAAUGGCUGCUGUUAU